rnacentral:rRNA from 1 species
GAUGAACGCUGGCGGCGUGCCUAAUACAUGCAAGUCGAGCGAAUGGAUUAAGAGCUUGCUCUUAUGAAGUUAGCGGCGGACGGGUGAGUAACACGUGGGUAACCUGCCCAUAAGACUGGGAUAACUCCGGGAAACCGGGGCUAAUACCGGAUAACAUUUUGAACCGCAUGGUUCGAAAUUGAAAGGCGGCUUCGGCUGUCACUUAUGGAUGGACCCGCGUCGCAUUAGCUAGUUGGUGAGGUAACGGCUCACCAAGGCAACGAUGCGUAGCCGACCGGAGAGGGUGAUCGGCCACACUGGGACUGAGACACGGCCCAGACGCCUACGGGAGGCAGCAGUAGGGAAUCUUCCGCAAUGGACGAAAGUCUGACGGAGCAACGCCGCGUGAGUGAUGAAGGCUUUCGGGUCGUAAAACUCUGUUGUUAGGGAAGAACAAGUGCUAGUUGGAUAAGCUGGCACCUUGACGGUACCUAACCAGAAAGCCACGGCUAACUACGUGCCAGCAGCCGCGGUAA